rnacentral:rRNA from 1 species
UACAGAGGUCCCGAGCGUUGUUCGGAUUCACUGGGCGUAAAGGGUGCGCAGGUGGCAUGGCAAGUUUGGUGUGAAAGCCCCGGGCUUAACCCGGGAAUGGCAUUGAAAACUGCUGUGCUGGAGGAUCGGAGGGGGGACUGGAAUUCUUGGUGUAGCAGUGAAAUGCGUAGAUAUCAAGAGGAACACCAGUGGCGAAGGCGAGUCCCUGGACGAUACCUGACACUGAGGCACGAAAGCCAAGGGAGCAAACAGG